AGAUUUUUUGUUCUGAAUUCUUAUACUGCAAAUAUUCAGUUUAAAAAAAAUCAGAUUCAAGUUUUCCAGAUGAAGAAAUUCGGAACUUCAAAUUCAGUUUUCUAAAAUUCAAUGUCAAAAAUUCAAACUCAAAAAUUCAGAUCUUACAGAAAGUAGGUCACAGGUCAUCCACAGGGAAGAGUAGAUGAUCUCAGAAAAGUUUUCCAGCGCGAUCGUGGUGGUUGUUCAAGAGGUUGACUCUGACUCUGAUCAUGAAUCGCCCGGGGUUAAGUGUUAGAUUAGCUUUCUCAGCACGAGAGACAUUUUGUCUAAGCGAUCUCUGGUGUUUGUUUUGAAGUAUAUUUUAUAUAAAAUUGAUUAGAACGCGACCGUGUGUACUAGGCCUAAGUUACACAGACAGGACGCGAGCGGCGCGACGCAACUCGGUGCUUGAAGCGACUGUUGCAAAGAGCUGGGACUAGGUCAGAAAUAGGAGGGGAAUCCGUGUGCGGUUGGGGAUUUCACGGGUCGCGUCGCACCGUUCGCGUCCGGUGUUGUGUAAUAUUCGGUUCCCGUGAAAAACUGUUCCCGUGGGUGGAGUUUACAUGAACAUGCAUUAGUUCCCUGAUCAGUGUACGCUUCUCAAAUCGCUAUUUGGAUUAUUUUGAAAAGACUGGAUGAGAGAGCUGAAGUCACUGGUACAGUAGCUGAUCAUUGUAUGAACUGGACAUACAUGGAAGCUGUUCUCAACGAGAGACAAUAAAUAUCUCAGACACUCACCUCAUUUUGCAUUGCUUCAUUCCAUGCUUACUUUCACACAACUUUCCUUGUCUUUUCUAUUUGUGUUAAAUUCAUGAAGCAAUUACUUCUGUACUUUUCACAGUAACAUUUAAUGAAUGUAAUAUUUGUGAUCUACAAUAUUGUUUUUUGAGUAUAAUUUUAAACA